AUUGAACGCUGGCGGCAUGCCUUACACAUGCAAGUCGAACGGUAACGGGCCUUCGGGUGCCGACGAGUGACGAACGGGUGUGUAAUACAUCGGAACGUGCCCGAUCGUGGGGGUUAACGAGGCGAAAGCUUUGCUAAUACCGCAUCCGAUCUACGGAUGAAAGCAGGGGACCGCAAGGCCUUGCGCGGACGGAGCGGCCGAUGGCAGAUUAGGUAGUUGGUGGGAUAAAAGCUUACCAAGCCGACGAUCGGUAGCUGGUCUGAGAGGAUGAUCAGCCACACUGGGACGGAGACACGGCCCAGACUCCUACGGGAGGCAGCAGUGGGGAAUGUUGGACAAUGGGCGCAAGCCUGAUCCAGCCAUGCCGCGUGCAGGAUGAAGGCCUUCGGGUUGUAAACUGCUUUUGUACGGAACGAAAAGCCUUCUUUUAAUACAGGAGGGUCAUGACGGUACCGGAAGAAUAAGCACCGGCUAACUACGUG
rnacentral:rRNA from 1 species